UUGAUCCCGGCCUUGUCCAGGUUCUAGUUACACUGUGAACAGGCCCGCUGGGUCCUCUGCCAGCCUUGCGUGACCUGGCGUCUGAGUCCUGUGGGCGCUGUGAGCAUUGCUGACGGAGGCUGUAGGCAGUCUACGAUUUCCACCAGUGCACCUGGCAGGUGGUCCGAGACAAGUCCAAAGCCUUAGGCAAGAACCGCGCCAGUGACCGCUUCCCUGCUCAGCAGCCGUGGAGACAGUGGACAGCGUGCUCAGCGUGCUGGUGGACUCACCCUCGACCCGCGAGAGGGCAGGGGUCCUGAGCCGCCAGUCCCACCGGCCCUGGACAUUUCACCCACCUCCCCUUACAGAAUUACCUGGGCUUCUCUUACUAUCUGAAGGUCAACUACUCCCGUGCAGGACAGGCUCGCACAAGACUUUUCUGCUCAGGGCAGCCUGAUGGUGCCAGUGCUUAUUGGCUGCCCCCUAGGCAAGCGCCUGGCCUUCGACAUCACCUACACUCUCGAGUACAACAGCCAACAGAACAAACACUACUUCAACUGUGGAACAAAGACCCCGAGAUGCCCUGCUUUCUCUUCCGUGACAGACCAGAUCCUGAAAAGACUCAACAUAGCAUUUUUUGAAUGGAAGAAUGAGUAUUUGAAUACAUUAAGUCAAGGUUGGCUGUGUCUGGACAACUCCCUUUGCCAUGACAUCAUCCCCGAAAACAUCUUUGCCCCUGAGUUCUUCUUCAAGGUGUUGUUUUUUCCUGUGGGCCGAUGAUGCUGUACGUCUUCCCUGCCUCCUCGGCCCUCUGUGGCGAAUGCCUGGACUACCUUACACUGGACAUCACUGCCUCUGCACGCAUGCCACCUCUCCUGGAGUCUUCAACAUGGCAUCUCAGACAAGAUCCAGGGAGAGCUCCAGGGACUCUCCAAAGUCAUCUCCAAGGUGAUCCAAGACAGGAUGAACCUGAGCCAUCCUUGGGGAAGGUGUCACUAACCUGAGCCUCUUGCCUGACUCUUGCCUCCUGCCUUCAUGCCUUUCCUAGUAGGGCCUUCUGCCACCCAGACAGCCCUUCUGUCUUGC
rnacentral:lncRNA from 1 species